CCUCCUCAGAGAAAGGUUUAAGGGAAAGGAAGUAAAUUACAAAAGGAUAUAACAAAUGGGGACGACAUAACCUUUUUUGUGGUGAUACUUUUCUCAGCACAUCUGUUUUGAUACCCAGGUUCAGGAGCAACACUCAGCAGAUCUCUUUGCUGCCCACUGCACUUUUCACAAUUGCAGAGUUCUGCGGAAGAACUGCUGAGGUUUGGAUCCUUUCUUGUUUCAUAAGAAGUUUUUCUAAUGCCUGUUCAGUGGUCUGUAUUGCUGUGAAUGAUGCUGGAAUAGUUUGCUCAUCAUUUAAUCUAUGUGCACUGUGUGAGUGUCCCUCACUGGAAAUAUUCAAGAACUGUCUGGACACCAUCCUGUGCCCUGUGCUCUGGGAUGACCCUGAGAAGGGAGCUUGGACCAGAUGAGCACUGUUGACCGUUCCAGCCUGACCCACUCUGGGAUUCUGUGGAUUCUGUGCUUCUGUGAUUUGUACCUGCUGGAUUGUCAAAAGGUAGGUCAUUUGGAAAGUACUUAAUGAUCCUGACGCAAAGAUUGAACUGUAAAUUGACAUCAAGUGUUACUGGACAUAAUUGGAUACAGGAUGGCUUCUGAAACCAAAGCCUGCAGGUCAUUAGGCUGUGAAUUCCAGACACUUUUUGUGACAUCCAUCAUGUUCUAAAUAACGUGUUCAGCCUGAGCUGCAUGUGAUCUCUUGAGAGGUGUUACAAGGGCCUGAGAGCUGGCAGCUGCAGGCACCUGAGGUAACAGGGAAAAUGAAGUCAGUAAAGCUGACAAUGUUUUAUUCCUAUAAAAAUUAGACUACUAAUGAAAAAUGCUUUGAGAAAAUGCAUGUUGUUGAAGUUAAUGUUUUUAGCUGUGCAAUCCAAAACAGAUUGCUAAAUCACUGAAAAAUUUGUAGGUUUAUGAUCUGCUAUCUAUAUGCCAUGUAAAAGCAUAUUUGUUCAUGAAGGUCACCAUGUUCUCUUUUCUUGGAAUUAAGAAGAAAUUAUUCUGUUUAUGCUUGUUUGCUCCUCCUUUAGUAAAUAAUUGCUACUGAUGCUCAUUCUUUCUCCUCAGACAAUUGAUCUUCAUGUGGUGUGUCUGUCUCAUACAUUUGUCACUCUGCUUUUCAUUCUUGUGAGAGAUUAAUUUCCUUCCUCAGACCUUGUCAAUAAUUAGAUUGAGAACAUGCAGAUUGUGCUAGUGCAUCAGGUUAGAAAACUUUAUUUUGACAGAUUAAUCAAGUUGUAUAAUUUUGGAAGAAAACAUGAGUGCUGUCCCAACCACCUACGUUUUGGCAGAAAUCCUGAUGUCAAACAAGCACUCUGAUUUGUGUCAAGAUUUUUGUUUGCUUUGUACCAUAUGGAGAAAAUUCAAAUAAUUUCAUUUUGUAGUCAUUUGAUAGUUCCUGCAUAUCUUGCAAUACUGAUUCAGUGCUGAAACAAAUGCCUAAUUAAAAUGUUAAGGGGGAAAAUGUACUUAAUUAUUUAAGUUCCGUUAUCGGUUAUUAACUUUGUCCCAUUUUCUCUUUCUUCUUUUUGAAUGCUAUUUAAAAUAUUCUACAUUUAACAAUCAGAAUAUUAUUUUUUUGUUCUGUAAGUUAGUAGAAAGACUGAAAAAAACAUUGAU